CUGUAGACAUAUGGUGGUGGAGGAGAUUUGUAGUCAACCUUAGGGGAAGGUGAGUAGUAUGGUGGUGGAGGAGAUUUGUAGUCAACCUUAGGGGAAGGUGAGUAGUAUGGUGGUGGUGGUGAACUAUAGACGUAUGGUGGUGGUGGAGAUUUGUAAUCUACCUUAGGGGCAGGUGAGUAGUAUGGUGGUGGGGGUGAGCUGUAGACAUACGGUGGUGGGGGAGAUUUGUAGUCUACCUUCGGGGAAGGUGAGUAGUAUGGUGGUGGUGGUGAGCUAUAGACGUACGGUGGUGGAGGAGAUUUGUAGUCUACUUUAGGGGAAGGUGAGUAGUAUGGUGGUGGUGGUGAGCUGUAGACGUACGGUGGUGGGGGAGAUUUGUAGUCUACCUUAGGGGAAGGUGAGUAGUAUGGUGGUGGUGGUGAGCUGUAGACGUACGGUGGUGGGGGAGACUUGUAAACUACUUUAGGAGAAGGAGAGUAGUAUGGUGGUGGUGGUGAGCUGUAGACGUACGGUGGUGGGGGAGACUUGUAGACUACCUUAGGAGAAGGAGAGUAGUAUGGUGGUGGUGGAGAACUGUAGACAUACGGUGGUGGAGGAGACUUGUAGACUACCUUAGGAGAAGGAGAAUAAUAUGGUGGUGGUGGAGAACUGUAAACGUAUGGUGGUGGGGGAGACUUGUAGACUACCUUAGGAGAAGGAGAGUAGUAUGGUGGUGGUGGAGAACUGUAGACAUACGGUGGUGGGGGAGACUUGUAGACUACCUUAGGAGAAGGAGAAUAGUAUGGAGGUGGUGGAGAACUGUAAACAUACGGUGGUGGGGGAGACUUGUAGACUACCUUAGGAGAAGGAGAGUAGUAUGGUGGUGGUGGAGAACUAUAGACAUACGGUGGUGGGGGAGACUUGUAGUGUACCUUAGGGGAAGGAGAGUAAUAUGGUGGUGGUGGAGAACUGUAGACAUACGGUGGUGGGGGAGACUUGUAGUGUACCUUAGGAGAAGGAGAGUGAUAUGGUGGUGGUGGAGAACUGUAAACGUACGGUGGUGGGGAGGACUUGUACACAACCUUUGGAGAUGGAGAAUAACAUGGAGGAGGUGGUGGACAGACACAUACAUGAGGGUGUGGUGGAGAUUUGUAUAGAACCUUAGGGGAUGGUGCGUGGUAUGGUGAUGGAGGAGACUUGUAGUAUACUUUAGGAGAAGGGGAGUAGUAUGGUGGUGGUGGAGAACUGUAAACGUAUGGUGGUGGGGGAGACUUGUAGACUACCUUAGGAGAAGGAGAGUAGUAUGGUGGUGGUGGAGAACUGUAGACAUACGGUGGUGGGGGAGACUUGUAGACUACCUUAGGAGAAGGAGAGUAGUAUGGAGGUGGUGGAGAACUGUAAACAUACGGUGGUGGGGGAGACUUGUAGACUACCUUAGGAGAAGGAGAGUAGUAUGGUGGUGGUGGAGAACUGUAGACAUACGGUGGUGGGGGAGACUUGUAUAAAACCUUUGGUGAAGGAGAGUAGUACGGUGGUGGUGGAGAACUGUAAACAUAUGGUGGUGGAGGAGACUUGUAGUCUACCUUAGGGGAUGGUGAAUAGUAUGGUGGUGGAGGAGAACUGUAAACAUAUGGUGGAGGAGGAGAUUUGUAUACAACCUUUGGAGAUGGCGAGUAGUAUGGUGGUGGAGGAGAACUGUAAACAUAUGGUGGAGGAGGAGAUUUGUAGUCUACCUUAGGGGAUGGUGAGUAGUAUGGUGGUGGUGGGGAACUGUAAACAUAUGGUGGAGGAGGAGACUUGUAUACAACCUUUGGUGAAGGUGUGUAGUAUGGGGGUGGUGGGGAGCUGUAGACGUACGGUGGUGGGGGAGAUUUGUAGACUAUCUUAGGAGAAGGUGAGUAGUAUGGUGGUGGUGGUGAGCUGUAGACGUAUGGUGGUGGUGGAGACUUGUAGUCUACCUUAGGUGAUGGUGAGUAGUAUGGUGGUGGUGGAGAACUGUAAACAUAUGGUGGAGGAGGAGAUUUGUAGUCUACCUUCGGGGUUGGUGAGUAGUAUGGUGGUGGUGGGGAACUGUAAACAUAUGGUGGAGGAGGAGACUUGUAUACAACCUUAGGGGAUGGAGAGUAGUAUGGUGGUGGUGGAGAACUGUAGACAUACGGUGGUGGGGGAGAUUUGUAGUCUACCUUAGGGGAAGGUGAGUAGUAUGGGGGUGGUGGGGAGCUGUAGACGUACGGUGGUGGGGGAGAUUUGUAGACUAUCUUAG
rnacentral:lncRNA from 1 species